rnacentral:rRNA from 1 species
AUUGAACGCUGGCGGCAGGCUUAAAACAUGCAAGUCGAGCGAGCGGCGGACGGGUGAGUAAUGUCUGGGAAACUGCCUGAUGGAGGGGGCUAACUACUGGAAACGGUAGCUAAUACCGCAUACCAUCAGAUGUGCCCAGGUGGGAUUAGGUAGUAGGUGGGGUAAUGGCUCACCUAGGCGACGAUCCCUAGCUGGUCUGCGAGGAUGACCAGCCACACUGGUACGGAGACACGGUCCAGACUCCUACGGGAGGCAGCAGUGGGGAAUAUUUCACAAUGGGCGCAAGCCUGAUGCAGCCAUGCCGCGUGGGUGAAGAAGGCCUUCGGGUUGUAAAGCACGUUCAGCGAGGAGGCGUUACUCGCAGAAGAAGCACCGGCUAACUCCGUGCCAGCAGCCGCGGUAAUAC